rnacentral:rRNA from 1 species
UACAGAGGGUGCGAGCGUUAUUCGGCAUUACUGGGCGUAAAGCGUGCGUAGACGGCUAUCUAAGUCGGGUGUGAAAGCCCCGGGCUCAACCUGGGAAUUGCAUUCGAGACUGAAUAGCUAGGGUACGGUAGAGGGAAGCGGAAUUUCCGGUGUAGCAGUGAAAUGCGUAGAUAUCGGAAGGAACAUCAGUGGCGAAAGCGGCUUCCUGGACCAGUACCGACGUUCAGGCACGAAAGCGUGGGGAGCAAACAGG